GUUUCUGUAGUUGAAAACAACGGUGGCUUUUCGGGCCACUAGUCUCGGUUAAAGUCCGGGUAGAAACU
rnacentral:tRNA from 1 species